AAUAACCUGUUAUGACAUUUCCAACAACCUGUAAUGCAUUGUGGUAUACAUCACGUGCUGUUUACGUACGUGCUAUUAUUAGAGUGCUACUUCAGUCCAUCUUACUGUAUGUAUGUGAGUGCUAUGUAAAACAGUGCUAUCAGUUGGCUGCUAGCACAGAACAUCCCAGUAGAAUGGAGAACAUAAUACCCAUCCAUCAUAGUCCCAGCACAAUACUUCAUGGAUCCGGGAAUUGAACACUUCAUCCCCAUUCCAGAAUGUGUGUGCAAUCAAUGCCAUUGGGGUCAACUGGUAAGUAUGAUUCAAUGUGUGUCCAGUCCCCCUCGGUGAGUCACUGAACCAUUACGGCAUCCUGUGACUCCCACUUAGGAAUUUGUUCAACCUCGUUAUUGUCUACUAGGUCAAACCAGUCAUGCCAUGUCUCUGGUUGGUAGCCUUGAGGUGAAAGAAUGGCGAUGGUAUCGGGUUUCAGAUCGUGUUUUCGGAUGAUUUCAUGGUGAACGCAGCGGCUGUCAUCACCUCUACAAAGGGAUCCAUGCGAACCGUCCUGAUGGCGUUCUGUCGGAAGUCAGCGCAUCCCCGUCUCAAAAUGUUGACAUCACUCUGACAGUAGGCUAAGAGUUCUUCUUGCAAGUCAAACAAGGCUCCUUCUUGAACUUUUUGGGUAUGCCACUGGAGGGAGGCAGUGCGUUCCGCGGGAGACAUGCCAUUGGGAUCGUACAUGACGGCUGGUGGAUAGGGACCUCUGUAGGUCUGAUUGGCUUCAGUAUUGAAAAAGUGUUGAAAAUACCCUUUCUUCAGUUCAUUCAGUCCAAAGGUCUUUGGAAAUGCUUUCAGUGGGUUUAGUAUGAAAUUCAAACUGUCUUCGAAACACAAUCGUCCCAGGGUCACCUGUAAAACCUGUUGUCCAUUCCGAAUCUUGGUGGGGAGUUUCACCAGAUGUGGGUACAUGCCCUUCAGGAUCAAGUGCAAAUCAUAGGAUCGUGCAUUAUGUGCCAUCACAUAAAUCAGCUCCUCCUUCUGGACUGUGGUGUUCCUGUUCUUCGUCUUUGUCUUCUCCUUCCCUUUUUCCUCCAACGGGGUGGGCGCGUCCACCUCCAUGGCAUCCUCCCCCUUGCCCUCCUCCUCCUCCUGGGUUGAUGAACGUCGCUGACGUUUUGUGGGUGAAUGAGUUGAGAGGACUCCAUCCUGUUUUCUUUUGCGUAUGUUGCCCUCCUCCUCCUCUUGGUUCUUCUUCCUGGGUUUUUCUGCCAAAGUCGUCACGUGGUGGGGCCUCGAAACAUGAUCUCGCGGCUGGGACCAUAACUUUCUUCUCUCCAUGGACAGUGUUUGCACAACUCCUUGCUCGCUUCACCGAUGCAUCGUCCACAUCCUAACUGCACCACGCACAAAUUUGGGAUGUGCUCCCCCAUCUCUUGCAUGCAUUCAAAAUCAUAGAAGACGUAUUUGAUGUUGUCUCGUCGGUUUUGGCUGUAGCAUUCUUCCUCUUCCCCCUCUUCCUCCCCUCCACGGAGGGGCGUCAUGUAACAGCGAUGGUCUGGGGUCUGCACCACAGCCCCUUUGUGGGAGAAGAAGUAAUCUUCUUCUUCUCCAAAUCGGCCCUUUUAAGGGCCACCCAUCUCUCCCGAAAGAAUGCUUUUCAUCCUUUGCGUUGACUACCCUCUCAUCAUCCACCCACCAAAAAAAAAAAAAAAAAACCUCUUCCUCCUCCACCUCCUCCCUCCCUCCCUCCUCCUCCCUCCUCCUCCUCCCUCCCACCUUCCCGCCUUCCCGCCCUCUCUUCUCCCACCCUCUUGGAUGGGGAGAUGGCCCCUCGGAAACGGAAGUGACGUCAUCUUGGAUGCGCGCGCAUGAAACUCAAUGCCCUGCGCAGGCCACGUGACCUGAUGACGUCAUCAGAGGUCACAGAGGUCACGAGACCAAACCGACCAAUCAGAAGCCAGGAGCGGUUCCAGCCCGCCGCCACCAACUACUCUCAUCAUCAAUUGUGGAAGGACGACGUCCUGAGGGCGGCGCUUUGAAGUGGUGAGGUUUUGAGUGACCUUCUAUGAAGAUCAAGGUCACUGGAUUGGUCUGUCUUAAGGUACUUUUGCUCCUUUCUGUACUGAGGAAAUAAUGUGUGAGUAUAACAUGUUUGUAAGAGCUUACACCUAUGUUUUCAACUAAAAAUAAUUAAACAUGUGAUUCUCUUAAAUUGAGGUCAAGGUCAUUACACCAAAAGUGCUUAUAACUUUCUGUUUAUGGUAGCUAGUGGAAUAGCACUUUCUGUUUUGAAGUUUACAUUACAACUUUCUUAGUAAUGUUGGUGCAGAACUGUUUUUAAGUUGUGAUGCAUUAAGCUUAUGUUAUGUUUGGCCUUAACUACAAUUAAGUCAGUUUGUGUGUAUUCCCAUUACAGAGGUGAAGUUAUCAAACCAAGAGUGCUUACAUUGGCAGCUUGAGGCACACGACUAAUUUCUACUGCAUUUGGCAACAUGAGGUAUCCGGGAUGAAUAUAAAACAUGUAUUGAUGAGGUCAUCUGUCACUUGAGUAGAUGGAAGUUAAAAUGGGUCAUGAAACACGUUUGUUGUGGUAAAGUUUUCGCUAUUCAAGAAAAAUUAUGAUGGGACUAGUUCUGUAUUGCAUGAAAUUUAAUAUAUUUUUUCAUAUAUGUUUUACAUGUUUAUCCUUGCAUCUGUAGGUAGUUGUAGAAUAGCAUUACUGUUGUAAAUAUGUAAGCUUAGUGCCAUAAGAUGGAAAUGGAUCCCAUACACCUGGGAAUAUUGUAACAAUUUAAACCUUUAAAAUUAUGGUCGCGGUUGUUUGAUCAACAGCCAUGGCGAGAUGAAGUAUGAAAUGCAUGGCUUCGAUGCUGUCAGUGCCAUUCAAAUUGAUUAGCAGAGACAGAAAGCAUUAACUAAGAGAAACAAAACGCGUUGAUGGCAGAAAAUCAAUGUUACGACAAUACUAAUUCAACAUGUCACCAAUUUGUACGUGCUUUCUUGUAACGUUGUCUUUCUUUUUCAUUCAGUAUGAAUCACUUGAUCCACCAAGACUUGAACGAGCUGUGAAGGACAAGUAGUUGGUACCUGACAAAGGCCACGGUGGUGAACAUUACUUGGACCGGGUACCACCUUGAAAACUCGCAGUUGUGCCCUGAAUGAUUGUGCACCAUCCUCUAAACACUCGAACGUGAUGCCACACUUACAAUUACUGUGAAAACUACCACUGUAGUUUUUCGCUGGGGACUAGGUGGUUCAAUAUCAUACUUGUGAGGCUGAUUUUCAUGAACUAUAGUGUCACGCCAUUUUUCUGUAUCAAACCAUGUAUAAUAAAAGAAUGAAAAAUCAA